ACUCUCAGACUUUAACUAACUCAUCAGCAUGAAAAGUAUUUUUCACAUUGUCUUUAUUAGGCUUUUUUUAAAAAUCACAUUUCUUUCUCUUCUUUAAGGAGGAAAGAUUGAUAUCAGUAACCUGAACACAAUUCUGGGGAACAUGGGGAUCAAGCUCAAAAAUAAGGAACUCCAAAGUGUGAUACAAAAUCAACCUGUUGAUGCUAAUGAAAAUGUUCCCCUGAAAAAGGUGAUGGAUGAUGUGAAAGCAGUUACAGGAGAAAAACUUAAUGCGAAAAAUCUGAGAAAUAUUCUUGAAGGCCUUGGAAUAGAAUUCACACCUAAAGAAUACUUGGAACUGGUACAAAAUCUGCAAAUUGAUGGUGAGCACUUCAAAUACUAAGGGACCUUUUGAAGAAGUUUAGCCCUAUGUACUUAAG
rnacentral:lncRNA from 1 species